UUAAGCAUAUUAAUUAGGGAAGGAAAAGAAACUAACCAGGAUUUUCUUAGUAGCGGCGAGCGAAAAGAAAUCAGUUCAGCACUAAGUCACUUUGUCUAUAUGGCAAACGUGAGAUGCAGUGUAUGGAGCGUCAAUAUUCUAGUAUGAGAAAUUAACGAUUUAAGUCCUUCUUAAAUGAGGCCAUUUACCCAUAGAGGGUGCCAGGCCCGUAUAACGUUAAUGAUUACUAGAUGAUGUUCCAAAGAGUCGUGUUGCUUGAUAGUGCAGCACUAAGUGGGUGGUAAACUCCAUCUAAAACUAAAUAUAACCAUGAGACCGAUAGUAAACAAGUACCGUGAGGGAAAGUUGAAAAGAACUCUGAAUAGAGAGUUAAACAGUACGUGAAACUGCUUAGAGGUUAAGCCCGAUGAACCUGAAUAUCCGUUAUGGAAAAUUCAUCAUUAAAGUUGUAAUAUUUUAAGAAUAUUAUAAUAAUAGUGUGCAUUUUUUCCAUAUAAGGACAUUGUAAUCUAUUAGCAUAUAACAAAUUUAUCAUAAAAUAUGACUUAUAGUUUAUUCAAAUUAUUAUGCUUGCAUUUUAACAUAGAAUAAAUGUCAUUAAUUUGAUAAAGUGUUGAUAAAUUAAAAUUAAUACAGUGCGUUAAUUUUUCGAAAUUAUAUAAUGGCAUAAUUAUCAUUGAUUUUUGUGUUUAUUAUAUGCAUUUGUAUGAUUAACAAUGAGAAAAAUUCAGGAUACCUUCGGGACCCGUCUUGAAACACGGACCAAGGAGUCCAACAUAUGUGCAAGUUAUUGGGAGAUAAACCUAAUAGCGUAAUUAACUUGACUAAUAAUGGGAUUAGUUUUUUAACUAUUUAUAGAUAAUUAACACAAUCCCGGGGCGUUCUAUAUAGUUAUGUAUAAUAAUAUUUAUAUUAUUUAUGCCUCUAACUGGAACGUACCUUGAGCAUAUAUGCUGUGACCCGAAAGAUGGUGAACUAUACUUGAUCAGGUUGAAGUCAGGGGAAACCCUGAUGGAAGACCGAAACAGUUCUGACGUGCAAAUCGAUUGUCAGAAUUGAGUAUAGGGGCGAAAGACCAAUCGAACCAUCUAGUAGCUGGUUCCUUCCGAAGUUUCCCUCAGGAUAGCUGGUGCAUUUUAAUGUUAUAUAAAAUAAUCUUAUCUGGUAAAGCGAAUGAUUAGAGGCCUUAGGGUCGAAACGAUCUUAACCUAUUCUCAAUUUUAAAUGGGUAAGAACCGUAUCUUUCUUGAUAUGAAGUUUAAGGUUAUGAUAUAAUGUGCCCAGUGGGCCACCUUUGGUAAGCAGAACUGGCGCUGUGGGAUGAACCAAACGUAAUGUUACGGUGCCCAAAUUAACAACUCAUGCAGAAACCAUGAAAGGCGUUGGUUGCUUAAAACAGCAGGACGGUGAUCAUGGAAGUCGAAAUCCGCUAAGGAGUGUGUAACAACUCACCUGCCGAAGCAACUAGCCUUAAAAUGGAUGGCGCUUAAGUUGUAUACCUAUUCAUUACCGCUAAAGUAGAUGAUUUAUAUUACUUGUGAUAUAAAUUUUGAAACUUUAGUGAGUAGGAAGGUACAAUGGUAUGCGUAGAAGUGUUUGGCGUAAGCCUUCAUGGAGCUGCCAUUGGCACAGAUCUUGGUGGUAGUAGCAAAUAAUCGAAUGAGACCUUGGAGGACUGAAGUGGAGAAGGGUUUCGUGUGAACAGUGGUUGAUCACGAGUUAGUCGGUCCUAAGUUCAAGGCGAAAGCCGAAAAUUUUCAAGUAAAAAUCAGUGAGUAAUAUUGUCAAAUCUUUUAUGAUUUUUAAAUACUUGAAUAAUUUUGAACGAAAGGGAAUACGGUUCCAAUUCCGUAACCUGUUGAGUAUCCGUUUGUUAUUAAAUAUGGGCCUCGUGCUCAUCCUGGCAACAGGAACGACCAUAAAGAAGCCGUCGAGAGGUAUCGGAAGAGUUUUCUUUUCUGUUUUAUAGCCGUACUACCAUGGAAGUCUUUCGCAAAGAGAUAUGGUAGAUGGGCUAGAAGAGCAUGACAUAUACUGUUGUGUCGAUAUUUUCUCCUCGGACCUUGAAAAUUUAUGGUGGGGACACGCAAACUUCUCAACAGGCCGUACCAAUAUCCGCAGCUGGUCUCCAAGGUGAAGAGUCUCUAGUCGAUAGAAUAAUGUAGGUAAGGGAAGUCGGCAAAUUAGAUCCGUAACUUCGGGAUAAGGAUUGGCUCUGAAGAUUGAGAUAGUCGGGCUUGAUUGGGAAACAAUAACAUGGUUUAUGUGCUCGUUCUGGGUAAAUAGAGUUUCUAUCAUUUAUGGUAGUUACUUGUUCCCCGGAUAGUUUAGUUACGUAGCUAAUUGUGGAACUUUCUUGCUAAAAUUUUUAAGAAUACUAAUUGGGUUAAACCAGUUAGUUCUUAUUAAUUAUAACGAUUAUCAAUUAACAAUCAAUUCAGAACUGGCACGGACUUGGGGAGGAUGCUUGGAAACACGUCGUGAGUACUGUUUCGGCCAGCUGGUCGAAAUACGUGCUCGGAGUCUUCGUGGAUUUUAAGGGAGCCUUCGACAACGUUGAGUGGAAUGCUGCACUACGCCGCCUCCUUGAGCUGGGAUGAAGAGAAGCAAGCUUGUGGCGAAGUUUCUUCUCCGGCCGGAGUGCGAGCAUCGUCAGUAGACAUGGAGUAGCCACUGUUCCGGUGACAAGAGGUUGCCCGUAGGGGUCCAUAAGUGGUCCAUUUAUAUGGAACAUCUUAAUGGACGUGUUGCUCCAGCGCUUAGAGCCCCUUGGUGCGCUCAGCGCGUAUGCUGACGACUUGCUCCUCCUCAUCGAAGGGAAUGCCCGAUCAGAGCUCGAACAAAAAGGAGGUGAGUUAAUGUCCAUCGUAGGCGCUUGGGGAGUUGAAGUCGGCGUUGCCGUUUCAACUAGCAAGACGGCGAUCAUGCUGCUCAAAGGCAUACUUAGACGGCCGCCAGUGGUACGGUUUGCUGAAGCAAGCCUGCCAUAUAAGCGCAAGUAUCGGUACCUAGGCAUCACGGUCGGCGAGCGGUUGAGUUUUCUCCCGCAGGGGCAUUGUCGCGCGUACUGCGGGUCGACUGGGGACUCAGUCCCCGCGCAAAGCAGACAAUAUAUGCCGGACUCAUGGUGCCCUGUGCACUAUUUGGUGCCUCGGUUUGGUCUGUCGUGACGACGACGCAAGUGGUUGCCAGGAGGCAUCUGCUUGCGUGCCAAAGGAUCGUCCUGAUUGGA
rnacentral:rRNA from 1 species